rnacentral:rRNA from 1 species
CUGCGGCAGCGACACUAUGUGUUGUUGGGUAGGGGAGCGUUCUGUAAGCCUGUGAAGGUGGCCUGUGAGGGUUGCUGGAGGUAUCAGAAGUGCGAAUGCUGACAUAAGUAACGAUAAAGCGGGUGAAAAGCCCGCUCGCCGGAAGACCAAGGGUUCCUGUCCAACGUUAAUCGGGGCAGGGUGAGUCGACCCCUAAGGCGAGGCCGAAAGGCGUAGUCGAUGGGAAACAGGUUAAUAUUCCUGUACUUGGUGUUACUGCGAAGGGGGGACGGAGAAGGCUAUGUUGGCCGGGCGACGGUUGUCCCGGUUUAAGCGUGUAGGCUGGUUUUCCAGGCAAAUCCGGAAAACCAAGGCUGAGGCGUGAUGACGAGGCACUACGGUGCUGAAGUGACAAAUGCCCUGCUUCCAGGAAAAGCCUCUAAGCAUCAGGUAACAUCAAAUCGUACCCCAAACCGACACAGGUGGUCAGGUAGAGAAUACCAAGGCGCUUGAGAGAACUCGGGUGAAGGAACUAGGCAAAAUGGUGCCGUAACUUCGGGAGAAGGCACGCUGAUAUGUAGGUGAAGCGACUUGCUCGUGGAGCUGAAAUCAGUCGAAGAUACCAGCUGGCUGCAACUGUUUAUUAAAAACACAGCACUGUGCAAACACGAAAGUGGACGUAUACGGUGUGACGCCUGCCCGGUGCCGGAAGGUUAAUUGAUGGGGUUAGCGGUAACGCGAAGCUCUUGAUCGAAGCCCCGGUAAACGGCGGCCGUAACUAUAACGGUCCUAAGGUAGCGAAAUUCCUUGUCGGGUAAGUUCCGACCUGCACGAAUGGCGUAAUGAUGGCCAGGCUGUCUCCACCCGAGACUCAGUGAAAUUGAACUCGCUGUGAAGAUGCAGUGUACCCGCGGCAAGACGGAAAGACCCCGUGAACCUUUACUAUAGCUUGACACUGAACAUUGAGCCUUGAUGUGUAGGAUAGGUGGGAGGCUUUGAAGUGUGGACGCCAGUCUGCAUGGAGCCGACCUUGAAAUACCACCCUUUAAUGUUUGAUGUUCUAACGUUGGCCCCUAAUCGGGGUUGCGGACAGUGUCUGGUGGGUAGUUUGACUGGGGCGGUCUCCUCCUAAAGAGUAACGGAGGAGCACGAAGGUUGGCUAAUCCUGGUCGGACAUCAGGAGGUUAGUGCAAUGGCAUAAGCCAGCUUGACUGCGAGCGUGACGGCGCGAGCAGGUGCGAAAGCAGGUCAUAGUGAUCCGGUGGUUCUGAAUGGAAGGGCCAUCGCUCAACGGAUAAAAGGUACUCCGGGGAUAACAGGCUGAUACCGCCCAAGAGUUCAUAUCGACGGCGGUGUUUGGCACCUCGAUGUCGGCUCAUCACAUCCUGGGGCUGAAGUAGGUCCCAAGGGUAUGGCUGUUCGCCAUUUAAAGUGGUACGCGAGCUGGGUUUAGAACGUCGUGAGACAGUUCGGUCCCUAUCUGCCGUGGGCGCUGGAGAACUGAGGGGGGCUGCUCCUAGU